rnacentral:snoRNA from 1 species
UUUCCCAUUGAUUUGCUACUAUUGCCUGUCAGUGAUAUGAGCAGUUAUACGCAUGGGAUAAAACAUAUGGGGCCCUUGCAAAUUGAGAUGAAAAUAAUCGUUUCUCUCUUCUGUAUGGUCUGGACAUUG